rnacentral:rRNA from 2 species
GGGGAAUAUUGCGCAAUGGGGGAAACCCUGACGCAGCAACGCCGCGUGGAGGAAGAAGGUCUUCGGAUUGUAAACUCCUGUCUUCUGGGACGAAUAAAUGACGGUACCAGAGGAGGAAGCCACGGCUAACUACGUGCCAGCAGCCGCGGUAAUACGUAGGUGGCAAGCGUUGUCCGGAAUUACUGGGUGUAAAGGAUGCGUAGGCGGAUAUGUAAGUCAGAUGUGAAACCCCCGGGCUUAACCCGGGGCAUGCAUUUGAGACUGCAUAUCUAGAGUGCAGGAGAGGAAAGCGGAAUUCCUAGUGUAGCGGUGAAAUGCGUAGAUAUUAGGAAGAACACCAGUGGCGAAGGCGGCUUUCUGGACUGUAACUGACGCUGAUGCAUGAAAGCGUGGGGAGCAAACA